AUUGAACGCUGGCGGCAUGCCUUACACAUGCAAGUCGAACGGCAGCACGGGGCAACCUGGUGGCGAGUGGCGAACGGGUGAGUAAUGCAUCGGAACGUACCUUUCAGUGGGGGAUAACGUAGCGAAAGUUACGCUAAUACCGCAUAUUCUGUGAGCAGGAAAGCAGGGGAUCGCAAGACCUUGCGCUGAUUGAGCGGCCGAUGUCAGAUUAGCUAGUUGGUGAGGUAAAGGCUCACCAAGGCGACGAUCUGUAGCGGGUCUGAGAGGAUGAUCCGCCACACUGGAACUGGGACACGGUCCAGACUCCUACGGGAGGCAGCAGUGGGGAACUUUGGACAAUGGGGGCAACCCUGACCCAGCCAUGCCGCGUGAGUGAAGAAGGCCUUCGGGUUGUAAAGCUCUUUCGGCCGGGAAGAAAUCGCACGGGCUAAUACCCUGUGUGGAUGACGGUACCGGAAUAAGAAGCACCGGCUAACUACGUGCCAGCAGCCGCCGUAAUAC
rnacentral:rRNA from 1 species